rnacentral:rRNA from 1 species
UACGUAGGUGGCGAGCGUUGUCCGGAAUUACUGGGCGUAAAGGGCGCGUAGGCGGGAUGGCAAGUCGGUCGUGAAAUCCCUCGGCUCAACCGAGGAACGUCGAUCGAUACUGCUGUUCUUGAGGAUUGCAGAGGAGACUGGAAUUCCCGGUGUAGCGGUGAAAUGUGUAGAGAUCGGGAGGAACACCGGUGGCGAAGGCGGGUCUCUGGGCAAUUCCUGACGCUGAGGCGCGAAAGCGUGGGGAGCAAACGGG